GGUGUGGAAGACGUCGUUGGCUUUGCCCUGCCGGUCGUGCGGUGGGUGCCGGAGUGGUAUGGAUGCGCUUUUGGGCUCCCGGAUCGCCACCCCAGGCUUUUGCCUGGCGCGAUUCGAUGCCCGUCGCGCCUGCGGGCCGGCCGUGUGCCGGCGUGAUGGCGUGGCGGUGCGUGGUGGCUUGAGAACUGGAUAGUGGACGCGAGCAAAACAAUGGUUUUGAAUCUUUGUUUUGCUGUUGAUUUCGAAUCGAACUCUAUUGUUCGUUUCGAUCGUUUUGUGAUCAUUUUUAGUGUGAUGAUUUGUCGUCUGGGAAUUUGCUAGAGGAAUCUUGCGGCCAUGCACCUUCAUGGUGUGUGUUGCUUGCAAGGGCGUAUGGUGGAUGCCCUGG
rnacentral:misc_RNA from 1 species